rnacentral:tRNA from 2 species
GGAGAGAUGGCAGAGUGGUUGAAUGCACCGGUCUUGAAAACCGGCGAAGGCGAAAGCCUUUCCAGGGUUCGAAUCCCUGUCUCUCCGCCA